GUGGGGAAUCUUCCGCAAUGGACGAAAGUCUGACGGAGCAACGCCGCGUGAGUGAUGAAGGUCUUCGGAUUGUAAAGCUCUGUUAAUCGGGACGAAAGAGCCUAGUGUGAAUAAUGCUAGGAAGUGACGGUACCGGAAUAGAAAGCCACGGCUAACUACGUGCCAGCAGCCGCGGUAAUACGUAGGUGGCAAGCGUUGUCCGGAAUUAUUGGGCGUAAAGCGCGCGCAGGCGGAUCUGCCAGUCUGUCUUAAAAGUUCGGGGCUUAACCCCGGGAUGGGAUGGAAACUACAGAUCUAGAGUAUCGGAGAGGAAAGUGGAAUUCCUAGUGUAGCGGUGAAAUGCGUAGAUAUUAGGAAGAACACCAGUGGCGAAGGCGACUUUCUGGACGAAAACUGACGCUGAGGCGCGAAAGCCAGGGGAGCGAACGGGAUUAGAAACCCUAGUAGUCC
rnacentral:rRNA from 1 species